rnacentral:SRP_RNA from 1 species
GAGGUCGGCGGGCGGACGGGCGCCUCGCCAACCCGGUCAGGUCCGGAAGGAAGCAGCCGCAACGAGUUUUCGCUCGGGUCGUCUGUCCGGCCUCCCA